UACGUAGGGAGCAAGCGUUGUCCGGAAUCAUUGGGCGUAAAGCGCGCGUAGGUGGCCUCGUAAGUCCGCUGUAAAAGUCAAAGGCUCAACCUUUGAAAGCCGGUGGAUACUGCGGGGCUAGAGUACGGAAGAGGCGAGUGGAAUUCCUGGUGUAGCGGUGGAAUGCGCGGAUAUCAAGGAGGAACACCAAUAGCGAAGGCAGCUCGCUGGGAC
rnacentral:rRNA from 1 species